ACCCUUUUCAGUUUUUCUUAUCCUUUAGCCGAGUAAACUUUCUCCCUCUCUCAUCUUUCCCUCACCUGCAAACCAAGAAAAACAGUAAGCCUCAAGUUCUCUGGUUAUUCUGGGAAAUAUAAAUUCUACAAAGAAUGGAUCUUCGAAUUUAGGUUUUGGUUCGACUUCCAGAGGAAAUAGCAGUUCAAGAAGCGGCUUAAAUUCAUCGUCGCGAAGCUUUCUUCUACAGAGGGGAACAGGAGGCUUACUAAAGAAACAGUUAGUCCUCAAAGUAUUUGGAUGGAAAUUAUUCUGGUGUUGAUUUAAUUGUUCUAGCUGCUAACUUUGCCGGCUGCAAUACUUUUACUAACAGAGUACUGUGAGAGUGUCUCAAGUGAGACUGAGAAUGUUGGUCUUCCUAUGAUCUUGUUACAUGGCUUUGGAGCCUCAGUUUUCUCUUGGAAUUGGGUUAUGAAGUUGUUCGCUAAGGUCAUUGGUUCCAAAGUUCUGGCAUUUUAUAGAUCGAAGUUUGGGUUGACACUUAUAUUCAAACUCUGUCAGGCAUUUAUCUUCUGGAAAUGGGGAAUCGAAAUCUGUGAAUCCGUACUCCAUGGCAUUUUCAGUGCUUGUUACCUUGUUUUUCAUUGAUUUUCUAGCAACUAAGAAGGCCAUUAUAGAGGGGCAUUCAGCUGGUUCUCUUGUAGCAGCUGAGUCAUAUUUUGAAGCACCAGAACGUGUGGCUGCUCUAAUCCUUAUUUUUAUCACAAGAAAAUUUUGAGAACUAGCCAAGACUUAUCAUGUCAACCGGAUACAAGUGAUGGCGAUUAGAGUUGGGUUUUCAAUUUGCAAAAUUAAUUCUUAUGCACAAGCUGUUAUUUAUUUCAAACUUAUAUGUUUAGAUUGUCAGUAUCUUCAGUAGGUUUACUUUGCAAUUUCAGAGCAAAUAUGUGGUUGGAUAGAUUGGCUCUAUCUUGUUGAAAUGUU